rnacentral:rRNA from 2 species
UAACUGCGAGUGAAGCGGGAAAAGCUCAAAUUUUGAAUCUGGCAGUCGUUUGGCUGUCCGAGUUGUAAUCUAGAGAAGCGUCUUCCGCGCUGGCCCGUGUACAAGUCUCCUGGAAGGGAGCGUCAUAGAGGGUGAGAAUCCCGUCUUUGACAUGGACUACCAGGGCUUUGUGAUGCGCUCUCGACGAGUCGAGUUGUUUGGGAAUGCAGCUCAAAAUGGGUGGUAAAUUCCAUCUAAAGCUAAAUAUAGGCGAGAGACCGAUAGCGAACAAGUACCGUGAGGGAAAGAUGAAAAGAACUUUGGAAAGAGAGUUAAACAGUACGUGAAAUUGCUGAAAGGGAAACGCUUGAUGUCAGUCGCGUUUGUCAGGGAUCAACCUCGUUUGCGAGGCGUACUUCCUGGCAGACGGGUCAGCAUCAGUUUCGCUCGCCGUACAAGGGCAAGGGGAAUGUGGCACCCUUCGGGGUGUGUUAUAACCUUUUGUCAUAUGCGGUGGUUGGGACUGAGGAACUCGGCACGAUUCUCGUUUGUGCUUAGGAUGCUGGCAUAAUGGCCUUAAGCGACCCGUCUG